ensembl:lncRNA
CCCAGACCUCAUUUAAUGGGUGGCAGUGGAAGUAAGGGUGUUUUUGUUGGAGAUCUGCAAGUACCUGAGGCCUUCCAAAGCAAAUGUGACCAGAAGGAAUCUGACACAACCAACCCUUCCUUUGCAAUCAACGUGGGAUCCAAAACAAACCUUCGGCGCUCUCGGCAUCGCUGCCCAGGGAACCAGGCAUCCUGCAAAUAAACACUGAAUUGCAAAUCUGCGAGGGAGCUGAAUACAGCAUCACAGCCAUACUUCUUUCUGGUGGAUUGGCUCAGAAGAGAAGUUCUGUACAUGGGCUUUGGUAACAUCCAGCCAAGAGCUGAGUUUCGAGGGCCAGGAACUGCAGAUGGGCACACAGAUAGGUCAAACCUUGGUUUUUUUUUUCCCCCAGAAGGCACAUUUGGUGUCCAGUCUGCAAACACAGGUGACUUUAAGAGCAACUCCGGCCAUUAAUGCCCUUCUUGUUUUACCUUUUGUAAAAAGUUACAAGGAUUUUUAUCUAGGGUAAAACAUAUAGAUAGAUAGAUAGAUAGAUUUGCAGCUGGGAGCUGCUUUAUGCAGGCACAGCCUCUCUCUUGGCCACGGCCUUUUGGGCCAGGCAUGGUACAGUCUGUGGGUUGUAAACGUCAUUGAGCGAGUCAGCAGCUUUCCCCAUGAAACCAUCUCAAAGCCUUCCCCUGUUGCUGCACAUUUAAUUUCCCCAUUCAGGGGCCAGUGAGAGUAAAGGCAACCUGUGUAUGGAAACUUUUAAUUAAACUACAAAUAUAGAGUCGAGUCAUUUCUGGCGGAGGUGUAAAUAGUCUGUGGGAGAAGUGCUGAGUUGUGGGAGAGGAAGGCAGCAUUUGUAUCCAGCCCUGGAAUUUGUCCAUUCGUCACACUGUUGUCCCAGGAUCACAGAUCCAUUAAGGUUGGAAAAGACUUCCAAGAUCAUCCAGUUCAGUCGUCCACCUACCACCAAUAUUUCCCAGUGAUCCCAUGUUCCUUAGUACCACAUCUACACAUCUUGAACACAUCCAGAGACAGUGACUCCACCACCUCCCUGGGCAGCAGUGCCAGUGCCUGACCGCUCUUUCGAAGGCCAUCACCUCUUGUCCUGUCGCUGUUACUCAGGAGAAGAGGCUGACACCCACCUUGCCACAACCCCCUGUCAAGGAGUUGCAGAGGGCAAUAAGGUCUCCCCUGAGCCUCCUCCUCUCCACCCUCCACAGCUCCCAUCAGUCCUUCUCUGUUCGUGAACAUCAGGUCUAGUGGAGCACCUUCAUCUUCCUUGGUAGGCUCUCUUACCAGCUGUGCCUCAUUAUUCCCUUCCCCUUUCACAUCCAGUUUAAAGCAUUCUCAACAAGCCUUGCCAGCUCCUGGGCUAGGAUCUGUUUCCCCUUUGAGAUAGGUGAGACCCAUCUAUAGCCAUUAGGCCAGGCACGAGAAAACCUCCCCAGGGUCAAAAAAGCCAAAAUUCCUGCUAGGGCACCACCCUCUUAGCCACAUAUUUGUCAGAUAGGCUUUCCUAUUCUUCUCAGUAUCCCUCCCUGCCAUUGAAGGGAUAGAGGGAAAUAUGACCUGUACUUUCUCCAUCAACUAACUGCCCCAAUCCCCUGAAGUCCCUUUUGAUAGUCCUCAAGCUUCUGUCAGCUAUUUCAUUGCUGCCAGCCUGAACUGUCAGUAAAGGGUAAUAAUCAGAGGGGUGAACCAGACCCAGUCUUUAGUGAGGCAUCGGACUUUCCUACAGGUAGGUUAUGCUGACAGAUGGGGCCUUCUGUGCCCCUCGGAAAGGAAUUGCCUGUGACAGUUACCCUUCUUUAAUUCUUGGUGGGGGCAGUUUUGAGGCAUGUAGUAGUUGGCUGCCUUGUCCUAAACAACCUCCUGGGUGGACCUUCCAUGGCAGCUGGAACUGGAGUUGAAGCUGAUCCAAUGGCAUGUCAG